UACGUAGGGUGCGAGCGUUGUCCGGAAUUAUUGGGCGUAAAGAGCUUGUAGGCGGUUUGUCGCGUCUGCCGUGAAAAUUCGAGGCUCAACCUCGAACUUGCGGUGGGUACGGGCAGACUAGAGUGUGGUAGGGGAGACUGGAAUUCCUGGUGUAGCGGUGAAAUGCGCAGAUAUCAGGAGGAACACCGAUGGCGAAGGCAGGUCUCUGGGCAACUACUGACGCUGAGAAGCGAAAGCAUGGGGAGCGAACAGG
rnacentral:rRNA from 1 species